AGAGUUUGAUCAUGGCUCAGAUUGAACGCUGGCGGCAGGCCUAACACAUGCAAGUCGAACGGUAACAGGAAGCAGCUUGCUGCUUUGCUGACGAGUGGCGGACGGGUGAGUAAUGUCUGGGAAACUGCCUGAUGGAGGGGGAUAACUACUGGAAACGGUGGCUAAUACCGCAUAACGUCGCAAGACCAAAGAGGGGGACCUUCGGGCCUCUUGCCAUCAGAUGUGCCCAGAUGGGAUUAGCUUGUUGGUGAGGUAACGGCUCACCAAGGCGACGAUCCCUAGCUGGUCUGAGAGGAUGACCAGCCACACUGGAACUGAGACACGGUCCAGACUCCUACGGGAGGCAGCAGUGGGGAAUAUUGCACAAUGGGCGCAAGCCUGAUGCAGCCAUGCCGCGUGUAUGAAGAAGGCCUUCGGGUUGUAAAGUACUUUCAGCGGGGAGGAAGGUGUUGUGGUUAAUAACCGCAGCAAUUGACGUUACCCGCAGAAGAAGCACCGGCUAACUCCGUGCCAGCAGCCGCGGUAAUACGGAGGGUGCAAGCGUUAAUCGGAAUUACUGGGCGUAAAGCGCACGCAGGCGGUCUGUCAAGUCGGAUGUGAAAUCCCCGGGCUCAACCUGGGAACUGCAUUCGAAACUGGCAGGCUUGAGUCUUGUAGAGGGGGGUAGAAUUCCAGGUGUAGCGGUGAAAUGCGUAGAGAUCUGGAGGAAUACCGGUGGCGAAGGCGGCCCCCUGGACAAAGACUGACGCUCAGGUGCGAAAGCGUGGGGAGCAAACAGGAUUAGAUACCCUGGUAGUCCACGCCGUAAACGAUGUCUACUUGGAGGUUGUGCCCUUGAGGCGUGGCUUCCGGAGCUAACGCGUUAAGUAGACCGCCUGGGGAGUACGGCCGCAAGGUUAAAACUCAAAUGAAUUGACGGGGGCCCGCACAAGCGGUGGAGCAUGUGGUUUAAUUCGAUGCAACGCGAAGAACCUUACCUGGUCUUGACAUCCACAGAACUUUCCAGAGAUGGAUUGGUGCCUUCGGGAACUGUGAGACAGGUGCUGCAUGGCUGUCGUCAGCUCGUGUUGUGAAAUGUUGGGUUAAGUCCCGCAACGAGCGCAACCCUUAUCCUUUGUUGCCAGCGGUCCGGCCGGGAACUCAAAGGAGACUGCCAGUGAUAAACUGGAGGAAGGUGGGGAUGACGUCAAGUCAUCAUGGCCCUUACGACCAGGGCUACACACGUGCUACAAUGGCGCAUACAAAGAGAAGCGACCUCGCGAGAGCAAGCGGACCUCAUAAAGUGCGUCGUAGUCCGGAUUGGAGUCUGCAACUCGACUCCAUGAAGUCGGAAUCGCUAGUAAUCGUGGAUCAGAAUGCCACGGUGAAUACGUUCCCGGGCCUUGUACACACCGCCCGUCACACCAUGGGAGUGGGUUGCAAAAGAAGUAGGUAGCUUAACCUUCGGGAGGGCGCUUACCACUUUGUGAUUCAUGACUGGGGUGAAGUCGUAACAAGGUAACCGUAGGGGAACCUGCGGUUGGAUCACCU
rnacentral:rRNA from 10 species